rnacentral:lncRNA from 1 species
UCUCUUUCUGGGUUUUCAAAAUCCUCUCUCUCUUCAAGAAAAACCCUAAGAAAGAUCGUUCAUCAAGUUUCACUUCUAAGGUAUGAUUGAAGGUUCACGCUCUUAAGAUUUUAUCUUUUAUUUAGUUAUUAUUUCUUUGUUUAAUUUCCAGUUUGAAUAUUUCUUUGUUUGAUUUCCAUUUUGAAUUAGAAUUUAAAUAGUUCGUUCUUUGUUAACCUUCUUUUCUUUUAUCUUCUGCUCUCUCUUCUGUUGUGUUUGUUUGAUUAUUUAGUCUGAUUAUGUGGUUUUUUGCAGGAUUGUCUUGAGAAAAGAAACUUCAAUUCAGGUCAUGAACAUUAUUUAUCCUUUUUGAUCGCUUGCUCUAUGGUUUAGUCUUUUUUCUCUCUAUUUUCAUUUUUUUUUAGAAUUUGGAAAAUGGGGUUAUGUAUGCUUUCUUUUUUCCUUCUUUGUAUGGUUGUAGACCUACUUUUGCAUAAACAUGGCACCUCGGUUCAGCCAAGCAUUCAGGUUCUUUCCUAAUUUCCUGUAUAUUUUCUUUGAGGCAUGUGAGAGUGCUUGAUUUACUGGUCUCACAUUUGUCUAUGUGGGGUUGUUAACAGUAAUGUGUUUGCUGGUAUUUUAAAUUACUUCAAUUUGAUAUGAUGGAUAAAAUGGCUAUUGGCUUGUUAUGGUAUUGUGUCAAGACUACCCAGAAAAGAUAUCUAUUUAUAAUUCUAACAUUUACAUUGUCAAAUAUAUCUUUUAUGUGGAUAAUUUCUGAUUCUUUGGUUUUUAGAAUCUCUAAAGUAAAUCACUUAAAAUUCAACCAUUGUCAGAUAUUCUUGAUGGUAAAAUUAUCAGAAAUCAGUUGGGAAAUUAUAUAUAUAAGUGUGGUUGGAAUGAACAAAUUGAAGCGAAAAGGUCCCUCGCCUUGAUUUUGUCAGACUAAUAAUGUGAUUCAAAUUUAAUGCUCCUAGUACUCCGAGUUUCUUGGAGUGGAAACUUGCAUGAAAAUUAAGAACACUUUGGAGAGUAUUUUAGAGAAAACUAAAGCUUGGAUGAGGAGAUGUUACUGAAUAAUAAAUUUCUUUGUAGAAUACAAUACAGUUAGGAUAAUUUUUUGUUUAUCUUCGAGGCAACCUUUAAAAUCCUGUUUCAGCUAAAUACUGAAUACUAGAAAUCCUUUUUGAUUGGGAUGUCGAUCAGCAAGAUAUUUUGAAUGCUAAAAUACGUAUCAUUUAUUUUUCCUUCUUUAUUUCAGUUGAUCAUCAUUGUUAUAUGUUCUAUCCAUUAUCUUUACCUUGAAAAGUUUGGAGCAGGUGGUUCCCAUAUCUCGUAUGCUGAAUUGUAGUUUAAUUUCGUUGUAGUUGUUCUUUCUCAUUUUUAAUACCUGCAGCUGAGACACUUGCAUGGGAAAAGAACUGAAAUGCCAUUAAAGAUUUAUGGAGGUUAAGAGGAUGGACCUCAAAAUCCUAUUAUAAAGAACAGAAAUCUUUUUUGUGUUUUGCUUGAACUUUGAAAUUGAACCAAAAUACAGAACUUGUAUUUGUGUGCAUGUAUAACUCUUGCCUCGUACACAUUUCACUUCACUUUUUUUAAAAAUAAAAUAAAAUGACUUGAUAAUAUACCCCUGUACGGCAACUAGUCUUUUAUUACUUUGUUUGUAAGGCUUUCACUCUUAUAGGCAAUUUUUCUGGAUGCGUUGGGAAGAAGUGGAGAAAGAUUGAUGCUUUGAGUAGCUUAAUACAGAUAAAACGAAGUAGGCAUCUGAGGUAAUAAUUUUGUAGUUUCUUAUACACUGAUAAUAUGAUUUGCUUGGUCUAGUCACUUUGUAGUUGUCUCACAUCUCUUUUUCAUGGUUGUUAUUAGUGUUUUCUUUUCGUUGCCACCAUCAUAAUACCUAGUGAAGCUAGUUUCUUUAUCACAUUUAGCUGCAUAGUUUCAUGUUGCUCUCCCUCCAUUUGUCUUAUUGUCUCUGCUUUGAGAGGGAAGAGUACGAGCAUGGAUUAUUGAGAGGGGUUAAUAUAGGAGGAAUGGUUUGCUGAAUUGAAGAAUCAAGUUUUUCUAUUGUUAUUGGAGAUUUUUAUUUACUGGUAUACAGCUCACUUAUAAAAUCCCUCUCUAAAUUUUUUAAUAAUCAUUAUUUUUUAGUUUCUUGAAUGAUAUUUAAUAACUAGGAGAGUAAAGUGCCCGUAAGAUUAGCCCCGGGGAUAAAUGAAGUCAUUGGCUUUUUUAAGUUUUUUGUGGCUUUGUAGAACCUGAAAAGUAAAUUUAUUAUAAUGUACUUGUAAGCAACCAUUGCCAAUAUGCGAGUAUGCUAAUCACAUUAUUCUUAAUUUAUGGUAGUUUUUUUUUUUUUUUGAUGAAUCAUGUUUAAUAUAGGAGCCAAAAGUGGAGGAAGAUCGAUGCUUUUAACAAAAUUUAAUGCAGAUGAACCAUUGUAAUAUGUAAAUUUAUUGCAAAUUUAAUGCAGAUGAAUCUUGUUUAAUAUUGUAAUGUACUUUGUUUCUUUCACAGCUAAAAAAUAACCAUUGUAAUUUUGAGAAAGUAGAAGGAUCUAUGGUUAAAAAAUUAAUAAUAAUAAUUCUCAAAAUU